rnacentral:rRNA from 1 species
AUUGCACGCUGUCGGCAGGCCUAACACAUGCAAGUCGAACGAGCGGCGGACGGGUGAGUAAUGUCUGGGGAUCUGCCCGAUGGAGGGGGAUAACUCCAGGAAACGGUAGCUAAUACCGCAUACCAUCGGCUGUGCCCAUAUGGGAUGAGCCUGUGGGUGGGGUAACGGCUCACCAAGGCGACGAUCCCUCGCUGGUCUGAGAGGAUGAUCAGCGCCACUGGCACUUAGACACAGUCCAGAGUCCUACGGGAGGCAGCAGUGGGGAAUAUUGCACAAUGGGCGCAAGCCUGAUGCAGCCAUGCCGCGUGUAUGAAGAAGGCAUUAGGGUUUUAAAGCACUUUCAGCGGGUAGGCGUUACCCGCAGAAGAAGCACCGGCUAACUCCGUGCCAGCCGCCGCGGUAAUAC